rnacentral:lncRNA from 1 species
CAAAACAAAUCACUCCUAUUUUUUUGAACAAAACAAAUAGUUUUCUUUCAGAUAAUCUUUAUUUCAACACUUUAUUUCUUGCUCCAGUUUUUGUCGGUUCUUCCAUACCGAAUCUAUCCAUCGCAGGUGUUUCAGAUGAGCUUUUCAGAUCGCAGCACACCAUCGUUUCCGGCCAAACCUCCUUCAUCGCAACCACAACCACAUUUCAGCGUGAAUCUUUUUGUGUUUUAAUGUGCAAAUAAUAAUAUCUACAGCAUUGUGAACAAAUUAUGUUUGGUAAGGAACAAAAUACAACCAAUAAAAAACACAGCAAGGAAGAUGAUUCUCACCAAGGUCGUUACCGACGGCGCUGUUCUUCUCACUGCACGCUAUUCUUCUAAGAUAGUGACCACCACUUUGAAUUUAUUAUUUCUAUUGUUGUUUCCCUAAUUCGUUCUUCAAUUUCAAU